AGGCGUGUAGAGUUAGUUUUCAAGCAUGGUUGAGAAGUGCACAAUACUUGUUAAAUCAGUGUAGAAUGUACAAAGUUUCUGAACUUCCAUUUUUUCUCUAUUUAAAUUUUAGCUCAGCUGGAACAAUAAAACAGGUACAUCCAUCAGGGGUGCAAAGGAGGGAAAAGAAGCAAAUGCACAGAGAGCAAGUCAGUUGCUCUCACAGUGGAUUCGUGCUCAUGGGCAAGACCAGUGUGACCAGGACAACUUCAACAACUGCACCCAACAACAAUCCACAACAAGGGACUAAUCAUGAAGAGUCUACUGAAUAACCGGAGCCAUUUGAGAGACCUGAUUCUGUCCACCACUUUGAAAAAUACUGAAGCAAGUCCUCAACACAUCACUGCAUUCAGCGAGUUCAACUCAUUGGAGUGCAUGCAUCAAUGCUAUGUGACCAGUGUAUGAAAAGCCAGCAAAUAUAACUUGAAAAGAUAACUUCAUUCACCAAACUCUCAACUGGAGAGCCUGUUAGUUCACUGAGUGACAAUGUCUUGAAAAGAUCUGUCUACUGAUGUGUAUCAGAUGACACAUAAGGACAGGAAAACUUCCCACAGAUUUGGUCCUUCUUGAACUUGCUCCAGUGAGUCAUUCAAAGUGGUUAGGAACAGCAAACAGGCUUGGUCGCACAUGGGUUUCAAAGCAUGACCUUAAAGGCAAAACCCUCCGUAACUUAAGACUGAUAGAGGAAUACAUCUUUUGUGUGUACUACCAAUGCUGGUUCAACAUCAAAAUAAAAUACUCUUGGGAUGGAAUGCCCACAUCUUGUUCCAGGUGCAGUGAGUUAGGCUGCAAAAAAAGGUUAUAGUGGGUGCUGUUUUGCCACCCAUCCAACGCUCAGCAUGGUAUGCAUUCAGGAAGAUGGUAAUUCAGACACUCUUGUGCUCAGAUGACAGUGAGAAGAUGGCUGGUGUCCGAAAGAUGAUUGACUUGAGGGGUGGAGAUCAUGACACUCUGGGAGAUCUUUCUGUAAAUCUCAGGAAUAUAUCUUUCACAAAGCCCAAGUGUUUUGUCCCUGUUGGAACUGAUAGAUGAACCAAUGCAAGACUUGAUUAAACUUGUUUAAGUUUCUUA